UACGAAGGUGGCGAGCGUUGUUCGGAUUUACUGGGCGUAAAGGGCGUGCAGGCGGUUUGUUAAGUGCAGGGUGAAAGCUCCCGGCUCAACUGGGAGAGGUCCUUGCAUACUGGCGAACUCGAGGGAGGCAGAGGAAAGUGGAAUUCCCGGUGUAGUGGUGAUAUGCGUAGAUAUCGGGAGGAACACCUGUGGCGAAGGCGGCUUUCUGGGCCUUACCUGACGCUGAGGCGCGAAAGCUAGGGGAGCGAACGGG
rnacentral:rRNA from 1 species